UUGUAAAAGUUAGGGAGCUACCAUUUGAUUUUUAUGGGGGGGCUAGGAUGAAAAAUUUUGUCCUGCAUUUUUUUUUAGCUGUAAUCUCUGUCCUGCCUUUUUAUUUUUCACUCUGUUCGGUCCUGCCUUUUUUUUUUAGUUUAUCCUGACUUUUUUUACCUAAAUUGUCGUCCUGACUUUUUUUUUGGCAAUUGUCUCAUCCUGCCUUUUUUUUUACUCAAAACUCCUGUCCUGCCUAUUUUUUUCAAAUUUCAUCCUUGCCCCCCCAUAAAAAUCAAAUGGUAGCUCCCUUACA
rnacentral:lncRNA from 1 species